UCCAGUGCCCAGCCAUUCUUUUGGAGAAGAAGUUUUUCCUAAUAUCCAACCAUAUGCCUUCUUUUUCUCAGAGGGGACACGCGUUGUCUCUCUUUCUCUUCUUUACACUUUCUUUACGCAAAACAUCUUGAAACUCGAGAACUUUGGAGAUGGCUGAUUUUCUGUCGGAUUAACUGGAAAUUGGUGAAGGCACUCCAAAACCUUGAGGAAAAGCAGGCAGCCCAUCAGACAAAGGCACGCUCCCUCCCAUGUACUCAGAAAACCAUUGUACCAACCUCAUCUUCUCAUGAUGCAGCAAAUCACUCCCACCUCCAUCAAACCCUGGCAGCAAAGAGAAACUGUGGCCAUCAGGCCAGUAGCAUAUUUCUCUGCAGUGGAGUUUUUGUGGUCAUGUUUUCCUUUGCAAUAUCCUAUUUCUGCAGAAGAAAGAACAGGUGAUGCUGAUUGAUUUUCUGUAGUUCCUUUUGUGCUUGCCUCGGGAUGGUGGUGAUUCCUGUUGAAAAGGAAUCCAUACAAACAAUUGCCUGUUGUGAAUGGUGUGGAUAGGGGAUGCUGUGGAUGCCUGUGAUCUCCAUCGUGGCACAAGGGAAAACAGAGAACCUUGUGAAGAGGUUUAGGAUCUCUACGGCAUGUCCUCAUGUACAGCUGGCUAUGUCUUGAUGGAGAGGUGGGUUCAUGUGCAUAUAAUUUGGCUGGCUUAGAUAGCAGGGAGGGUCAGGGUUCUUGGCUGGUGAUCUAUCUCAUGGAUGGAAAAAGCCACAGGGACUUCUUGUCCCCACAGCUCUCUCCUUCUCCUGUGUGGAGCAGCCUCAUUCCAAGGGGAACAGGGGGCUCACGAAGCACCACAACUCAGUGUUACCUGUACCACUUUGACCCAGUUGUGUUGUGGACCACUCUGUGAGAUCCCUUUUGGAGCGUGAAGAUACGGGUUGUGCUUUGUCCCCCACAGGUCCUCUCCAUCCAGGGCUCAGGAAAAGAUGAGCAAGCCGUGGGCUCUCCCUCCUGGGCCUCCUGUAUGUCUGUGGGUGAGUCUGAUGUUGAGAGCAGGGUUUUUCUCAGUUGGCAGGAGAGGCUUUGGGAAACCCAGUCCAUCCCCCAGUUUCAGCAAGAGCUGAGUAAAACAAUGGAAAUGGAGUCAGCAGAUGCACGAACAAGGUUCUGAGAAGUGAUGGCUUAUCUGUAGAGAGGACGGGAAAGCCAUGUCCUGCAUUCCACAUGCUCUGUCCCCUCUUGCCCUUCAUCCUUGAUACAUAUUUGAUACCAUAAACCUUCCAAUACAUCCUCUUAUUGUGCAUCCACAGUUUGCUUAGGUACUGUGGACCUCAGAAUUACCUGUGGCUCCCAUGCUCCACCAUAAUAAGGCAAUGAAUAGCAGGUACAUCAAAGGAGCAUUGUAGGACUGUGUCUUGCCAUAGCAGAGAGCUGUGAGCUUCUGAUUAUGGCCUGAGAAAGGACUGCAAAUGGCAUCUCUCUGUGGGGUGGGAAUUAGUCCCAUCUCCCUUUUGGAUCUGGAGUCUUUGCACAUAGACUCUUGAAAUGUGAAGAAUCUGCAUGCUCCCCACAGGGCUGCCUUCAUGUCAGUGCCUAAUUAUUUUCUUGGCAGAGACCUUGUCCAUAUGGCACGGAAAAUAUGGAUUGCAAGGGGAAGCAGAGAGCUGGGAUUGUUCUGCUGCUCUAUAAGUGAAUGGAGUAACAGAUUGUUAGCAAGGGUUGUCUUGUGCUGGUCUUCCCAUUUCCUCUGGGUUAGGAUUAGCCAGGGAAGACCCUCUGAUAGCAGUGGGUGCUUUGAGAAGGUACAUGACCCUCACAGUGCAGAUGGAGGCAGGGAAACUUAGGACUGGAGAUUGAAACUUGGAAAGGUGCAUCACAGAAUUCAGUCCCUUGCUUUCACAGAGAGCUUUUCAGCUGGGUCCCAGUGCACAGAACAUUUACUCUUUAUUGUCCUGAAUCACCAAACAUCGACCAUAAUGUGCAAGGAUAAAGGAGACUGCGACACUGCCUUAGUUUCUCAAGGUUCCCACAUCAGCAGAAUGUGCCUUGUGCCUCUGGAGAAAACGUGCUCUUGGAGAAGCCUGCUGCACAAAUGCUCUGGCUUUGGAGGGCUCCCAUAGGAGCACCAGCAGCCUGAUCCUGCUUGGGGUGCCUGCUGGAACACAACCACCGUGACCCUGGGAUAAAAGCAAGGAGUUUGGUGUCUCAGUCCAGCUGGAAAUAGGAAGAUUCUCCAUAAUGCCAUGGCUGGUCCCAGGUAGGUUGGGAAGCUACCUAGGGGUGUCAGUGUAGCCUGGGGUAGAAGGAGAGGGUUCCUCUCUCCAUAGACCAGUGGGGGAAGUGUAACUGCUCGAUCCUUCUGCAGCUGGGGACUGUCCUUGACCCAGUGUAGGAGACAGAGGGUCUGGCUGGACUGGAUUUCAGCAUGAUGGGACCUUUUGGUUGCUCCCCAAGCUGUCUUCUCUGGAGCUUUAUGGAGGAGUCCACCGUGCUGGACGUGAUCCGUUGAGCUGCCAAAUCCAAAACCUGGUUCCAGAGAACAGAAAUAAACUCCAGGGGUGGGAAUCUUCCCCAGGAGGAGGAAGGAGACAACCAGAUGGGCUUUUGGAGCUCUCUUCCUUCCUUUAUUUUUAUAAACAUAAAAAGAAGUUGCACAAGGCCAAGGGUUUAUAGGCAGUCUUGGAAGAGCUGAUAUCCCUUGUUUGGGGGGAGUUUUGGUAUUGCAGUUGUUACUCAGUGGGAGACAUUCCCAUAAAGCUCCCCUGGACUUGGACAUGGAUAUCAUUAAAGCAGGUGUCCAUUUUUAAGAGAUUCUGGAGCUCUGAUGUUUCUUUUAUGUCCAAACUGAGCGUAAAAUUGUCAGUCAGGCUCUUAUGGGUUGUCCAGCUCCAAUGGGCAGUGCUUUCCUGGGGGAUAAAUGCAGGGAAAGCUGAAAUUCCACACUAUUUAGUAAAAAGGGAUGGAAGGAAACUCCUUCUGACUCCAAAAUAAAUCUCCAGCUCUACACAAACAAUCACAAUCCUCCCUCAACUCUUUGCAUCCUCUGGGCAAAGCUUCUUCAGGCAAAGAGGCCAUCAACUGUUCAACUGUUUUUUUAAUGCUUGAUUUAGAGUAAACAGUAAUGGGUCAUUGCAUCCCCAGGAGAGGACUAUCUGUUCUUUGUGCACCUCCCUCCUUCCUUACAUGAUCCCUGAAGGAGCCACGUUGAAGCAUAGACCAGAUCCAAGUGUUGCGGGAGAAGAAGACCCGUUUUUCGGGGCAGGGACCCAGCAGGGCAAUUUGUUGUUCAGUCCGUAUUUCACUUUGCAUGGACUGCCACAUGACAGCCCCAUCAUAAUAUUUGUGAGGAAUCACUUCCUGAGCAUCUUGUGUUACACUAACAUCAACGCUUUAGAGUUGCAAAGGGAGAGCAGGGGUUACGUGAUGCUAGCUGUAGGUCGGAAAACAGAACAAUCUGAAUUCCUCAUUUUUUCAUUAAAAAAACGCAAUGAUUUACAGUUAAAAGACUGUUUUAUUAUUGUGGGGGAUUGGGAGAGGAGGACUAGCAUGCUUUGAGGCAAAAAGACUGGUGUUCAUAGCUCUUUGCUCACUUGGAUCUUGAUAUGGCUCUUAGACAAAGGCAAUGGGUGGACCUUGUCCUGCGAACUGGGAAGAGUUUUGCUCAGGUGGUCUCUGUUGAAGCCAGGAGUGCUCCACCACUCACACAGUGGUACAUUCACAGCUGUUUAGAUUCUCUCUAACUCUAGUCUCAUCUCUUCUGUGAAAGGUAGGAGCUGUCUGCCCAAAUGCAGGUGUCUUCAGUAUCAUGAUUGACACCUGAGUUCAUCAUCUAGCUGCCUGUUAAAGUCAGUGGAGAGGAUCAUAGAAUCAUAGAGUCAUUAACAUUGGAAAAGACCUCUACGAUUCCCAAGUCCAACCCUAACCAACCCCCACGAUGCCUGCUGAUCAUGUCCCUCAGUGCCACAUCUGCAUGGUUCUUGAACACCUCCAGGGGCAGUGACCCCCUUAUUUCUCUGGGCAACCUGUGCCAGUGCCUGACCGCUCUUUCCAAGAAGAAAUUUUCCCUAGUAUCCAACCUGGAAAUAUUUCUACGUUACUGAAGUGAGGUCUAACAAGAAGGUGAGAGGAAAACACCCCAAGCUUGCUGUAUGGAUAUAUUUUUCCCUUCUAUAAAAUGUGGAAGGUCAUUCUUCCACAGUCUGGGCUGUGAUAAACUAGUGGAGCCAAAGGGCACAUCCCUUUGGGUUGCCUUCAAGAUUUUGGUUAUCUAAUCAAUUUCUAAAUAUAUCAUGCAUUGAGCAGACUGUGCUUCCAGUGUACAAUUUCUUCACUUUCUCCUAUUAUCUUCCAUUUUUCUCUCUACAUUGUAGCUUGACUUAGCCCCACUAGAGGAACAAAGGAACUCACUUUGGGAGGGCCCUUUGAGUAUGGGCAUACUAGAGACUAAUCUCUCAAUUUCCAUUUUUUCCAUCAUUCCCAUGGGGCAGAGGACAGUAGGUGGCAGGACUCUUGGCUUUUCCUCUGCUCCCUGUCACAAGAUCAUGGAAAUAACGUAACCUCAAUUUUCUUAUCUGCCGCAUAGUAAAGAUAGCGUGUCUUUACCCGGGGUUAGCGGCAGUUCUAACGAAUGUUUGUGUGGUGUUUGGAGAUAUUUGGAUGAAAGGCACUACAGAGUUAUUAAGUAGUCGUGUUAUUUAUUGUGCUUUCCCAAGUGGAUCUCCUUAGCAAUGUAGUAUGUAAGCAGUGCUACUAUAGCACCCACAUUGACACGCAACCUAUUGCCCUUCCAGUAUCUCUCAGGAACCAAGUAUCUUCCAUGUAACUUCACAGCACUGCAGGUAGAACACUCGUGGUUACCUUGCUUUAUAAAACACAUUCACCUGCUUUUUCACUGAUUUUACCCCAGUAUAUCCUUUAAAAUGGCAUUCUGUUGAGCUGCACUUUUGGAAUUGGAAAAGACUCAUCUGUCUAAUGCUCUUGAGUGCUGUGCUGUAACUUCUCAAGGGCAGCAGGCAGUAGAGAAGAUACCUUUUUUUUUUACAGUUUUCUUUUUGGAAUGUUUUUUUUUUUGUCUCAUUUACGUUCAUUCUUUCAUUACUUUUAUAUUUCGUAUAAGACAGAAACAGACAGUCAAUGAGGAAAAUCAUUUAAAUUGGCAACAAAGUCUAAAUUCAGAGUAGUUAUGUCCUAGAUAUGCUCCUGAUGACGUCAACAAGAAAUGCACACCCACAGCCUAGAGGAACGUGCCCUACAUUUCUGGACAGAUGUCCCCUCUAGGAGGGGUGGUCAUUUUGAACGCACAAGGUGGUACUGAUUACUCUGGCCUCCAUGCUGGGCCUGGGGAUCGCAGCAAAACAACCAGAAAACAUGUCAGAAUCUACUUUCUGGAAGAAUUUGAAAUUGGUUAUUAGGAAAAACUUAUUCUCCAAAAGAGUGGUGAUGCAUUGGCACAGGCUGCCCAGGGAGGUGGGGGAGUCCCCGUCCCUGGAGGUGCUCAAGAACCGUGGGGAUGUGGCACUGAGAGACAUGGAGGGACAUGAGGAUGGGGUUGGACUUGGGGAUCUUGGGGAUCUUUUCCAACCGUAAUGAUUCCAAGAUAGUAAGAAUUUCUAAUAAUUUUGACUCAGAUAUUUCUAGGCCAGAAAUACCGGAGGGAAUCACCUUUCUUGCAGUUUCAGCUGUUUAAGAUCCAUGCAGAAACUGGGAGAACAAAGAUUGGCAACAGGAACAGUCUGUUAUUUAUAGAUUUAUGUCUCAAAGUUGAUUGCUCGCCAAACUGAUUUAUUUUGGGGUAUUCUGUUGUUUUCUGUUACACCUCCAGAAUUCCCUGUUUCUUCUUGCACAUCUCCUCUCCUGUGAUUUUCUAUGUAGGAGACUUGCCAUGUAAAAAAUCAGCUAAUAGGAUAAUAAUUGUUAAGAAGAAAUUAGUUAUUUAAACUGACAUCACUCCUUCCUCUCGAUCUUCAUUUUAACACAGAAAUAGGAACAUAAUUUCUUUGGAGACGUUCAGCUUUCUGUCAAAGAGAGUUUAAAAAUCAACAGGUGGACAAAGUCUAUGGGGGACAGAUAGAUGACAGGCUGAAUGGCCACAUAAAUCUAAUUUCCAGGGAAAAAAAAAAUGUUAUAUAAUACAAUCGUAAAGUGAACUCAUGAGUGGCUCACCCCUUGUAUUUCCUGUACUGAAAGGAGGAGAAGUGAAUUGUGGAAAACCUUACACCAGGUCUGAAUUCGGAGGUUUGAGGCUGUCUUUAAAAUGAAUGUAAUUUAAGAAAAGAAAGAAAAAGAAUGAAGAAAGAGUAAAAAAGAGAAAAGUAGUGAUUAGGCAUAUCAUUCAAUGCAAUUCCUUUAGUGCCAAGUGUAUCAAAUCCAUCCAUCAUGUGCUCAUCACUGGAAGAAAUUUGAAUGAGUUGUCCAAGUGGUGAGGGAAGGGAGGAUAUUAAUCAUCAGGAUUUUAGUAAAUAUUCUAACACAAAGGAAUAGUGGCCCCAGUGCAGAGCAGAAGUGAUCCUGGCAGAAGAUACCAGCAGUGUUUAGCUUACACAGUGUGAUUUUCACACGGGGUCAAUGUUUUUGCGAGUCUGGGGCUGGGGCAUGGCAUGGAAACCAACAGUACUGAUGUUUUAGUGCCCAAUAAAAUGGGAAAAGACCUAAUUUGGGGUUUGCCCUCUGUCCUGUAAGACCAGGGUGAGUUACCAUAGGCCACUUCCUUCUGAGGAGGAAGAUAUCAGGCUAGGGGGUCAGUGUGGGGAGAUGGGCCAGGUAAUACUGCAGAGAAGAGAGAGUUGAGACCUUUGGGUUAGGGUUAGAAGAGCACUGGGUGAUGUGACUUAGUGAUAUGGCGAUGAUGGCUCAGUGGUUGGACAAGAUGAUCUUAGUGGCCUUUCCAACCUUAAUGAUUCUAUGCAGAGGAGACGUGGGGUGAACCCAGGAGACCUUAAAGGACAUGGAAUUUCAGCCCAAUCGUGACCCCUUGCAGGUGUUUCAAACUUCUGAGGACCAAAUGUUUCAGAAGAAGAGGCAGAUCCCUGCAAGGAUUUGGUGUCUCCAGCCAAAUGUCCUAUCUCCUGGGACCACUGGCUUCAUCUGCACCCAUGGAAAAUGUGUUGGGUGCAGAGAGCUUUAUUUAGGUGCUCAGCAAGACAAUGUUUGGGCAGAUAGGAUUACCUCCUUGCUCCUGGUAUGUGAAGUUCAUCCCUUGUGUGGCACAUUUAUCACCCCCUCUUCCCUCUCAGAGGAGGAGGAAGGGAACAGUAGGAGGGAAAAGAAAGUGGAAGGCAGGAGAAGGGGAUCCAGACAAGGGAGGAGGUUGUGUGGGGCACAUCUUCCCAGCCUGAGUGAUUUAUUUUUCUUCUGGGAAGCACUGAAACUUCCAAGUCGAAAUUAAUGGGAGAAAAACACUUUCCAGGUGCUCAAAAGUGCUUAAGUACAAUAAAUCAAAGGGGUAGACUGAAAGAGGAAGCUCAUAGCUGAGGCAGAAGAGCAGACUCCUGGAGCUGUCUCCUUUGACAUGCUGGAUGCUCGGCCAAGGCAGGCGCUGUCCCAGCUCGUGCAGUGCAAUGGGAGCACUUCUUGGGCUGCACAGGGGGCUCUCUUGGGUUGCUCCAUCUUGACGGUGGAAGGCUCUGAUGUGGAAUGCUUGUUCACUGAAGCUCAGUGAAUGAGACAUGACACAUCUGGAGAAGGCCAGAGGGGUCAUGGGAAGGAUGGAGGGGAAAAGUCAGCAAAGGAAGAGUGAUGGAUCCACCAGUUCUCUCCUCGUUUUCACGCUGUGUCCCCAGCUCUCUGCUGGCCAAAUUGCAUUUACUCAGCUCUUCUGGAUGAGGGCAGAGCCCACCUCAGUGGGGAUGGUCCCUGAACGGAGAUCUGACUUCAGAAUUGUCCUCCUGAUGGUGAGGUGGAUGAGGAGCUGCUUUAAGCUGAGGCUUUCCACCCUUGUGCAGCCCCGUCCUGCCUCACUGAUGGACCCAUAUCAGGACACCUGUGGCUUCAUCCCACCUGGAAAGGACUUUUAAAGGUCAUCAAGCCUAACUCUUGUGCAGUGAACACCACUUUCUCAGUGGCUAUCAUCCCAACGAUAGUGGCUUUUCAUCAAUGAUUUUAUUUCCUUUUAUUAAGAAACUCGGUUUCUCAACAACAACUGGGAUUUCCAUUUGAAUCUGCGAUAUCAGUAUGGAAAACAGGUUGCCUGAAAACCUGGAAAAUGGAAGCAGCUAGGCUGUGCUUUGGGUGGAGAUCUGUCCCCAUCCUUUUCAUACAUCCCCGCCAUUUAUUUUUCCUUCUAUUGUGGUUACACCUAGCAACCUUUGGGGCAGUUCUGGCCUGCACUGUGCUAGGUGCUGUGCAAAUAUACAGGAGAAACCCAGCUUCGAGUCUGUUCUCUCUCCCAGGCUGUGUUGGGCUAGCCCUCGGUGCAUGGAUUAUCAAUUAGUCGACUUGCUGACAGCUCCAGUGCACAAUGAGUCAGUUCCCUACUUAAGAUGAGCCAUCAGUCAAUUAAACUAAUAGUGAAAAUCUCUGGGCAUAAGAAAGGAAACAUUUAUGAGCUAAUGUUAAGCAUGCGAGGGCUAAGGGAAAUAAAAGCCCUCUACAAUUAUGACAGGGGAAAAUGAGAACGUAGGCUCAUUAAUAAACAAAGAGCAGGAUGUAAUUAAUAAAUGCCUCUAAACCUGCCAGAAUAUGGAAUUCCUUUCUAAAUAUGUCAUUAGCAAGAAAAAUAAAGAGGAAAAAUUAAGCUGAUAAGGAUGGGCUUGGAAACUUUGAACAUAUACAAAUCACAGGAUCUGCCUGACAUUUCUCCUGCUUGUUGAAGGGAUUUAGCGAAGGAGUUAAGAAAUCACUGCAGAAUGGUGGAAAUAUGGCCAUGGGAUGUGAAAGCAAAAGGUUGUAGCCUGUUUUUAUAUAUAUGUGGCAGAUGUUGUCCUCUGUGCUGGUUGUGGUGCGAACACAGCACAGGGAGGUGGUCCUGGCCAGAGCCACAUCACUGUUUCUGGUCCCUGACAUGACAUUAGGGGGAAAUUUACAAUGUGCAAGAAAAAAAAAGAAGAAAAAAUAACUUCUUAUAACCUUAAAAAAAAAUAAAACAACAACAUAAAGCAUCCAUAUUGGGCAGAUUUAUGGUAGGGAAUAAUGACGCAUAGAAAGGAAGCACGUGAAAUGUCUUGCAGUUUAAAACUACUUCUAAGUAUCAGUAGGUCGGCCGCUUCACAACUUUUUCAUGUCUUGGGCCUCAUGUUUGCACCCACUUAUGGUGCCCCUUUGCUGCAGGGGCCCCAGAAGCUCUCACUUUAAUCUUGAGAUUCAACCUGGGGGGAUCCGACUGGCCCCAGAUGUCAAAGCACUUGAGUAGUGCCGUCACUUGAACUUGAGUUGCUCACGUGCUGUGAUGAAUUCGGGCUCUGGCCAAGAAAGAGGAAUGGUUUUGAGAAACGUGGAAAGGGCAGCAGAUGCAAAACCUGGCAUCGGAGGAUGCCUGAUGCUGACUGAGGGAUGACAGGCUUGGAAACCAAGAGGAGGAGACUUAGGGCAGAUGCUGCACAGAUGGGAGAAUCCAAGAAGAGCUGCCUGGGGAGGAAAGGAUGUGAUCAAAGCAAUACUCUCGCUGGAUGGAUAUCAGUGGGACGAGGUGGUGUUUAUCAAGAGCAGAGAAAAAGAGCUUGCUGUGCAAGGGUUGGGUUGUGCAGAUGGGUGGGAGAGGGCAGGCUGCAGGAGUGGUAUGUGUGAGGCAACCUGCCUGAACUAGGCAGACCUAGGGGUUGAUCUGACUCUCUCCUACCUAGCUUACUUAAAUCAAGCAGUCGUUUUUCCCCUGUGAAAGGCAUUCCCUUGUUUGAUCUUAAGUUAUCAGUCAGCACCUUGAAGAUCUGCAGUAAAAUUGCACGAUCCAUGAAGUUCACGUCUGGAUUGCAACUCUAUGCAUUUGCUGAUGGUUAUUGCUCUGCUUUAGUCCUUCAUGAUUUUUUUCUUGUUUUCUUUUUUCCUGGGAGUGGAGUCAGCCCUGCAACUGUCUUGUCCAGCUUUUUCCCUGUACACAACACAAGUGACAAUGUUUUGGCAACCGAUCUGGGAUAUUUUUUGUCUGCUUUCUUCUCUCUCCUUUCUGGACUUCAAUACGUGUUUUGAAUUUCUGAUGCAAAAUGCAGAAAGUAAAUAAAGAGACAACUUAGAUGAGCAAUAGACAGACCUAACAGAAGAUGGAGAAGAGAAACAGUAACAAAUAAACCUAAAUAAAGUGUCAAACUCUUAAUAAAUUAUGUCUGACCACCAGACGACUACGGCACAACAGCCAAAUUAACUGCCAUACCCUGAUGCUGAUAGUCUAGAUAAAAUAUUAAAACAAAUCUGGACCAAAGAGAGCCUCUCAGCAAUGGUACAGCAGUUUGCUUUCUAGCUGAGGUAAAAAUAACAUGUAAUCAUUUAAUACAAUUUCUUCAAAUAAACUUUAUUUGGAGAUAAUGACUUCCAGAUGGGUGAAGGUUUAUAAACAUCUCUGCCACAAGAUAAAUUCCCACUGGGUAACGGGUGGGGUAAGAGAGUGAUUCAGUCACUGGGUCUGACGGGGAGGUUAGAUGUGAGCUCUAGCCCCAAAGCCAAGCAGCAAGAAAGGACUUCUGUCCAUCCUGUUGUUCCUUCUUGCUGCCCCAAACCACGUGGCUGUACCCAAACCGCCUGUUGGGAUUCAUAGAACCACAGAAUGGUUUGAGUUGGAAGGGACCCUUAAACGUCCCACUCCUUGACAUGAACAAGGACACCCACAGCUCGAUUGGGUGCUCAGAGCCCUGUCCUGACCUCAGAGCCUGACCUUGAAUGGAGCAUCCACCACCUCUCUGGGCAACCUGUGCCAGUGCCUCGCCACCCUUAUCGUAAAAAACUUUCUCCUUAUAUCCAGUCUGAAUUUUCCCUCUUUCAGUUUGAAACCAUUUCCCCUUGUCCUAUCACAACCAACCCAGACAGUCCCUGCCUUGUGCUACAAUCUCCUGAGCUGUGCCAUGAAGCAGUCCAAAAUGGUCCAGUCCAAAAUGGUGCCAAAAGCAUCCUACAAACAAAACCCUUUGGAGUGGGGAGCUCUGAUGCUGGGGAACAAUUCCAGUACAGAUACAUUCUAUGAUUGACUUUACAGAAGAACCCACAACCCUUUCUGUAUCAACCAAUACCCUUCUUGAAGCUAUUUGGGAAGCACAACCAAGCCUUCAGGGCUAGAUUAUCAUGUCCAGCUUUGCAAAUGUGUAAGCUCACAUAAAGCAUCAUCGCGGGUGUUCAUACUCAAAGCAAGAACCUGCUCAAGAUGUCUGUGCAGUUUCUCAACGAAUAGCCCAGCACCUUUUUGGAUGAAAUACUAGCCUGGAUCUCCUUGGAGCCAACACUGCUAGUCAGGCUGUCAGUGUCACACAUGUAUUUAAUUGCUUGGCUGGGUCGAGGCCCUGCAGAAUCAGGGCGAGGAAUGCGAAGGAAACAAUGGCACUUCGCGCUUAAUGUGGGGGAUUUUGUGUGUUAUUAAUUAUUUUUCGUUUUGCUGGUUUUGAGACAGAGGGCUGAAACAAAUCCAGGCAGAAAUCAGCCACAGUUAUUAGUGCCUCAAGUCUUUGUCUUGUAGGCUUCAAACUGGUUAAAACAACAGGGAAAAAAAGCUAGACACUUUUCAGAUGAAGGCCCCCAAGGUACGUGGGAUUUUAGAUAAAUGACCUGGUUUGGGUCCAGCAAUAAUUAUCUCCCUUUAAGUCCUUAGAUUUUUUUCCCCCCUUGUUUACAGGAGAUUGUUGGCUUGUUUCUUUUUGUCUCAGCUUUAUCCAUACCUCCCGCCACGACAAUGCCUCCGCGGAUCUGCUGAGAACGUAAUGAACCCACAGCUGAAAUCUGAACGUUUCAAGAGACUGUAGGAUUUUGUCAAGGAUCUGAUGGGAAGCUGGCAUGUUUCUAACUCAUCUUGAUUGUUUUUUCACCUGAUGGGUUGGCAGGGGAGUCAUCACCUCCCAGGAUUCCAUACCUGGGGCAAAUUUACCACUGCAGAGUGAAGGCCGGAGGAACCCCAGUCCCUAAGCCUCUCUUGCCCACAGAAGUCCUUUGCUCUGUUCCUUAUCAAAGGAACACAAUUAUUCAAUAGUUUGGGAACACAAGUCUUAUGAGGAGAAGCUGAAGGAACUGGGAUGGUUCAGUCUGGAGAAGAGGAGGCUCAGGGGAGACUUUAUGGCUCUCUCCAACUACUGAAGGGAGGUUGUGGCGAGGUGGGGGUCAGCCUCUUCUCUCAGGUAACAGCGACAGGAUGGGAAGCAUUGGCUUCAAGUUGGGAUGUUCAGGUUGAGUAUUAGGGAACAUUUCAUCUCAAAAAGAGUGGUAAUGCAUUGGGAUAGGUUCCCCUUGGAGGUGGUUCCAGAACCGUGGAGACAUGGCACUGCUGGACUUGGUUAGUGGGCAUGGUAGGAGUGGGUUGGGGUUGGACUGGUGAUCUUAGAGGUGAUCUUUCAAGUGUGUGGGAAAUCAUCAAAAUGGGAGAUAGGCUUUGGGAGGGCAUUUUAGGUCUGUGAAUUGAUGUAAAAUGUAGAUUUUGAGAUGGAGGAUUACUGGUUGAUUAUGUAUCUGUGUGUGCAGAGAUGGUAAUACCAAAUCUAUCUGAUUUGUCCUGGUUCUGAGCCACAGAUGCUGACACGGCUCAGACAUGACAUGGACCUUGCAGGAAAGGAAGUUAGAAGAAUGGUUGUUUAGAGUCAGUGACAUUUGGCUGCUUCAUGGCCAAAAAGCGUCCGUCCAAAGGCAGCUGCAGGCUUUUGGAAAUCUAAAGGGAGACUGAUUAAUCUUUUCUGAGAUUGAAUCCCCUUCUGCCCUGUUGCAGCUCCAAAGGCUGCAGGUUUGGAGCACCUAGAAUCACAGAAUCAGAAACGUUGGAAAAGACUGCUAGGAUCACCUAGUCCAACCAUCAGCUCAUCACCACCUUUCCCACCUAACAAAUAUCAGCCAUUUUCUCUUCCUUCUUAACUGAAGAGAUAAUAGAGGUUGGGCUAAUUCAUCUGGGGUGAGGUGGGAGACGUGUUCCAGCAGAAUGUCACCAAUAUUCAUUCUGACCCUGUAUUGAAAUUCAGUACCAUACACAGAUUUUCUCAGAAAUGUUAAUUCCUGACCGUAAGGACAGCCGUGGAUGAGGCUCAUUACUGGUUAGACACCAAUGUGUUUCUCAUCAGUUCAUAUUCCUCUCGCAUUUAACAACCGUCUAAAGCUAAACCUUGUGUGUUUUUGUCUCAAAUCUUCUGUGAGUGAAUCAGCCUCUUCUUUGCCAAGCUGGAUGCCAGGAUGUGGGCAGGUGAGAGAAGCCACAAGCCUAUCGCACUGCCCUUACACAAUACAUCCCAGCAACCCUAUGGAAGUCUUGCUCAACCAGCUCUGCAUGCCAAAAUCACACCAAGCAUCCUCCUUCACCCUCUGCUAACACGGCAGAUGCUUUUGGAUGCCUUCCCAGUCAAUUCUCAGAAGGCUGGAAAUCUCUGUUUCCCAUAUUGUCCCUACCCAACCCUCCCCCCCCCAAAAAAAAAAUAAACAUAUAUCAUCUGUGUUGGAGCAGAACACUGGAAGUGUGUAUGUCCUGUUAUAGAUUCAUGUUUACAUUAUUACUGGGAGCAGAUUAGGUGGUUUAACCUUCUUACAGUUCUUUACAGUUUUCAUGCAACCCUUAUGGUCUUGCAGGAUAGAAUCAUCACUGGGACUCCUGCUGAGAAGGAGAGGCAUCUUAGAGGGACUUCAAACCUCCCCUACUCUGUUGGGAUUUUGCAAGCCAAAGGUUAUUUAACUUCUACCCCAACAUGACAGGACAAGGAGAAAUGUUUUCAAAUUGCAAGAGGGAAGAUUUAGACUGGACAUAAGGAAGAAGUUCUUUUUGAUAAGAGUGGUAAGGAACUGGCAGAGAUUGCCCAGAGGGGUGGUGGAUGCCCCGUCCCUGGAGACACUCAAGGUCAGGCUGGACGGGCUCUGAGCACCUGGUGGAGCUGUGGAUGUCCCUGUUCAUUGAAGGGGAGUUAGACCAGAUGACCUUUCAACGUCCCUUCCAACUCAAACCAUUCUAUGAUUCUAUAGAUUCUUCUCUCCAUCUAAUUUCUCUUAGGUAUACAAUCCCAUCCUAUGCUGGCAUGGCAAGAGUGAGCAUUGAGAUUGAUUGCACUGCGCUGUUGCAAAGGCAUUGGAUGAAUUCUCUUCCAUGUGUCUUACGUCGCUCGCUGUCCACGUGAUGACAGCAAAGACAUUGCUUAGUAAAUAUACAGCCAGUAGAAGAAUUGAAUGAACCACAGAAUCACAGAAUCAUUAAGGUUGGAAAAGACCACCAAGGUCACCCGGUCCAACCCCAACCCAUCCCCACCAUGCCCACUGACCAUGUCCCUUGGUGCCACAUCUCCACGGUUCUGGAACACCUCCAGCGACAGUGACUCCACCACUUCCCUGGGCAGCCUGUGCCAGUGCCUGACCACUCUUUCUGAGAAGAAAUUUCAAGAACACCCUCAAUGAGUCUGGGCCAACGCUUCAGUGAUGCUGGAGUAUUCAGAUGCAUGAGUAUUUAGAUGAAUGUUCCAAUUGAAGGGGAGAGUCCUGUGGAGUUUUCUGCUUGCUAGUUUGGUUUUUCACCAGUGAUGCUGGUGAAACCACUAAGCCUUGAUGAUGAUCUUGGAAAAGGACUCGACUGAUUCGGUUUGUGCAAUAACCUUUCAACUGAGGAACUGGUGCAUCUCCCGCCUGCCAAGUCAAGCUUGUUACAGAGCAGAGCCUGUUGUGAUGUUGCAGGGAUGGAGGAAAGGGGGGUUAAACUCUCUGUCUGUGACCCUAGAGAGCUGGGGACAGGGGAAUUAUGCACUUUGCCUCUUUUGUUUUCACUGGAGAGGGUGGGAUUUGAUUUCAGCCUUGACACUCACUGUGCUACGAAAAGGUCAGAAAGUCACCAGCUUCACCACACUUCAGUGGGGACCAGGAGAAAAAAAAAUUACAUCUUCUGAGACAUAGAUCAGCAAUGUGAGAUCCACUGCGGGUGACAGAGCUGGCGGGAGGUGUAUGUGGCAGAGGCGGCAUGCCCAGGUCACGCUCCCAGCCUGGCUGCUACGGCUGUCAACGAAUCUUUGGGGAGCUCCAGCUCAUGUUACCCUCGGUAGGAGGAGAGAAUGACCUAUAACUGGAGGCUGACAAGGGCCCAUAAACUGUUUCUCCUGACAGCUUCCUGGAUCCAGUCCCUUGUCCUUUGGAACAAGGCAUUUUGAGGGGCAGCUCCUUCUUUAACCAAGUGCCCAGUGACUUUUUCCCAUUGUCUGGAAGAGGAAAGCACAAAAAAUGCUGAGUCUGCAGUGUUAGGACCUGCUGGAUUUUAUCCCAUCAGUGCUUUCCAUCAGAAAAUUCAACCAUGCCCAAAACAUCCCCUCAAACUCAACUUCAUUUGUUUUUGUUCUUCCUUCCUUCCUAACCCUUCCUUCCUUCCUAACCCUUCCUUCCUUCCUAACCCUUCCUUCCUUCCUAACCCUUCCUUCCUUCCUUCGUUCCUUCGUUCGUUCGUUCGUUCCUUCCUUCCUUCCUUCCUUCCUUCCCACAGCAGGCAAUCACCACAGGCUUUGGGAGGACAAGGAGAAGGAGUACACAGGGCAUUACCCCAGGCAUCCUGGCAAACCUUCCUUCUUCCUUACCAUUGUCAUGAUGAAAGGGGACAUGUCAGCCCUUGAAAAUGCAUGCUAAGCAAGAGAGAGGAGAGUUCUGGGAAAGCACUUCUUUUCUGCAAAAUUAGUUUUGCUGAGUUUACAAGGUGUCGAAGGCUAUUAAUGCUGAAUGCUUUGGUACCAUGAGACUGUAAACAAAGCUUCAAUGUGCCUUUCUACAGACCCAUUUAUCAGCCUCCAUCUUUUUCCCUCUGGCUUUUUUCCACUUUUUUUUUUUUUUUUUUCCCCUCUCUCAUUCUUUAGCUUUGUGUCCUGGAUUUAUUCCCAUUCUCGAGGUUGUCUUAUUAAUUUUCCUCUUUCUCAAGGAAAAAAACAGGCUUGUGGGCUGGAGACUUUACAACAUUCUCUCAUAGUCCUGGAUUUAAACCGCCUAGCCGGGGGUCUAUAAUGUACUGACAUGGAAAGACUAGACUUAUUAUUAAACUAAUAAUCUUGGAAUUUUUAUGAACUACAGAGCUCUGCGAUCAUUUCUAACCACAGGGCACGGGUUGCUGAGGUAUUAGCAACCAUUGGUGAAAAGCUACUGUGGCUGGACAUGCCAACUUUGUCAACACCUGGGAGCAGGGCUGCAGAGAUGAAUGAGCUGAGGAGGGAGGUGGGAAGAGAUGGGAUGCUCCUAACAGCCCCAAGUGGCUUUUGCCCACUUUUCUCCCAAAGAUGUAUAUCUGGUGCAUUAAUCAGGCUAUAGCCCCCAAACUAUAACUUGAGGUAUGAGAAGAUAACUUGAAUAAAAUGGGAUUACCGGGAUCUGGGAGUGCAAGUGUAUUCUUGCCUUAUUCUCCACUUUUGCCAGUGCUAGAUACCAAGUUAGAUGGAUUGCUAGCCCAGCCCAGAACAGCUGUUCUUGUUUUGUGUCAGACUGAGCUGGUUAGGACAGCUGAGACUGAGCUGAAGAUAGGAUGGUUUCUACACGACUCAUUUUAUCAUCUUUUCAUAGAAUUAUGGAAUCGUAGAGUCCUUAAGGUUGGAAAGACCAUGAAGAUCCCCAAGUCCAACCAUCAGUCCAUCCCCCCAUGCCCACUAACCACGUCCCUCAGUGCCACAUCCACGCUUUUCUUGAAAACCUCCAGGGACGGUGAAUCUACCGCUUUUCUCAUGAAGAAGACUAAAAGUUAGAUUUUUCAGAUGAUUUAGGGUUCUUGUCUUGAAAGUCUUAGAGGUAUUGAUCUUUUCAGAAUUUUAGUUGUGUUGCUUUCAGUUAAGAAUCCAUCUGACUUGGUAUCUAGCAGUACCUGCAGUACGUUCCAGCCAAUGCAACACAUGAAGAUGCCUUGCUGCUUAUGAAUAACUUGCCAAGCUCUUUACAUUUGGUGCAAAGUGUAUUCAGUCAGCAUUUAGAAACACUGCCCUGCUCACUUUGCCGGCCAGUAAAGUUAAAUCUCUUGGCUUGAUGCUGUUCGUUACACUCCCAGAACAUAAUUUCAAAUGGCCUGUGAAAUAUUUCACUUCAGGUUGGAUAUUUGGAAAAAUCUCUUCUCUGAAAGAGUAGUCAGGCAUUGGAACAGGCUGCCCAGGGAGGUGGUGGAGUCACCGUCCCUGGAGGUGCUCAGGA